GAACUUCUUAGAAGGAUUUUCAGGGGAAUAUUUUAGAGUCUUAGGAGAUGGAGAAUCCAAGGAUAGCAAAACAUUUCUUCAAGGAUACAAAGUAUUUUGACUUCAAAAAUCAUUGAAGCUUCCUUGACAAAUUUUGUAAGAUAGGAGCCUAGACAUGGUCGUUUCAGGUUUCGUCAUCCUUAGAAACAAUACCAAAAGAUUGGAUCCCUAGCUGGCCAAUGCACCUAUCUCAUUGAUGCUCUUAACAGCUACCCUCACUCUCAUAUCCCGGCCUCCAUAGAGAUCCAAAGCAAAAUUCAAGAGUAUGACUAAACCAUGCUCUGUUGAUCCCUAUAUUGUAAACUUAAAAACUGCUGCUAAAACCCUCAAAUCGUUGCUCGAAACUCAUUCUUGUGAAGACGUUGACCUUCUUGAGCUAAUGUCAACUGCUGUAUGCUAAACACAAGGUAGAAUUGGAGCUUUGUGCAAAAAAAAUGCCAAACACUUCCAUGAUCUUAGACUUCUUCAAAGGUUGGGAAAAAUGCAAGCUCUGGAAUGCAUUUCGUGAACAUAUGGGGACAUUGAACAGAUGCCUUGUCCCCAGAAGUCUCCAAGUGAGUAAUGAAAGGAUAUAAAACUGAUUUCCAUAAAGGAUGAAAGUCUCUCUACUGUAUCAGCAAUCGAUGAACCAGUGCAUGCAAUCAUCGUGUUUUCUUCUACAAAUCUAUGUGUGAAAAUUGGUUGGCCACGUAAGCAAAGUUAGUUGAUUAACUAACUGAAAGUGUGAGCUGGCACACCUGUUUGCUUAGCAUUUUUUUUCAUGUACUCAUGUAUAAAAAUGUGAAGAAAAAAAAAAGGAGAUUUUUGAAUUGUAGAAAAGAAGUGAGAGGAUUUUAGAGUGAGUCUUCUUCACUGUUCUGUAGCGAGAGCUUGAUGAUUCUCAGAGAUUCUUGAGGGUGUAAAAUGGUUCAAUCUUAGUGGAUUUUUGGAGGUGAUCUUGAUCCGUGGAUGUAGGAUUCAAUCUUGGAUCCGAACCACGUAAAUCCUGCUUGUUUUGUUAUGUUUUGAUAUUAGAUAUUAUUUUCUUUUGAUUUAUGGUUUUGUUUUCUUUGUCUUCUUGGAUUGGUGUUCAAUCUCAAUUCAUUGAGGAACUUGGAUAAAAACUAACACUAUGUUUUGUA